rnacentral:rRNA from 1 species
UACGUAGGGGGCAAGCGUUGUCCGGAUUUAUUGGGCGUAAAGAGCGUGUAGGCGGCCACACAGGUCUGCUGUGAAAACUCGAGGCUCAACCUCGAGCUGUCGGUGGAAACCGUGUGGCUAGAGUCCGGAAGAGGAGAAUGGAAUUCCUGGUGUAGCGGUGGAAUGCGCAGAUAUCAGGAGGAACACCGAUGGCGAAGGCAGCUCGCUGGGACGGUACUGACGCUGAGGCGCGAAAGCGUGGGGAGCAAACAGG